CAGGUGACGAAAUGGGACCAUGGAGGUUGUAGUUCUGGCCAGUUGAAGACUCAGCAAAGCAUGUAUAUUUCAUCGUGGAGUUUGAGCGUCCGUGGUUCACGGCAGAGCGCCUCUCCUCGAAGGAGGGAAGCAGAUGUUCAGAAUGGCAGAUGAAGCUAGGGUGAGGGCAGAGAACUCUCUGAGGAGCCUGGCAGCAGGUGCUAGAGGUGCAGGAGACAGCGCUGCAUGAGACAGGACUGCAGGAGACAGGGCUGCAUGAGACAGGACUGCAGGAGACAGGGCUGCAUGAG